GUGGAAAUGAUGAUUAUUUCCCCAGAUGAUCGAAGUUGAUUAUACUGAGCGCAUUUAAUUAUAAUAUUCUCUAUUAUAUUAUAGAGAAUCCAAGCCAGAAAUCUGAUCCUA
rnacentral:snoRNA from 1 species